rnacentral:ncRNA from 1 species
AGCCCACCUUCGUAAAGAGGGGACUUGACAAGACUCCAGUGGCCCCCCUGCCACCUGCAUCCCAACCAUGCCCGCGGACGGUGUGAGGCCGGUAGCGGCCCCCCGGCGCGCCGGGACCGGGGCUUCUCGGAGUCGGGUUGCUUGGGAAUGCAGCCCAAAGCGGGCGGUAAACUCCAUCUAAGGCUAAAUACCGGCACGAGACCGAUAGUCAGUGCCGAGCGC